UACAGGGGGUGCAAACGUUGCUCGGAAUCAUUGGGCGUAAAGCGCACGUAGGUGGUUCGUUAUGUCGGAUGUGAAAGCCCUUGGCUUAACCGAGGAAGUGCAUCCGAAACUGGCGAGCUAGAGUACGAAAGAGGAUCGCGGAAUUCCCGGUGUAGAGGUGAAAUUCGUAGAUAUCGGGAGGAACACCGGUGGCGAAGGCGGCGAUCUGGGUCGAUACUGACGCUGAGGUGCGAAAGCGUGGGGAGCAAACAGG
rnacentral:rRNA from 1 species